rnacentral:rRNA from 1 species
UACGAAGGGGGCUAGCGUUGCUCGGAAUCACUGGGCGUAAAGCGCACGUAGGCGGAUUGCUAAGUCAGGGGUGAAAUCCUGGAGCUCAACUCCAGAACUGCCUUUGAUACUGGCGACCUUGAGUCCGGGAGAGGUGAGUGGAGCUGCGAGUGUAGAGGUGAAAUUCGUAGAUAUUCGCAAGAACACCAGUGGCGAAGGCGGCUCACUGGCCCGGUACUGACGCUGAGGUGCGAAAGCGUGGGUAGCGAACAGG